UUAUCGUAUAUUUGAUAGUACCUACUACAUGGAUAACCGUGGUAAUUCUAGAGCUAAUACAUGCUUAAAAUCCCGACUUCGGAAGGGAUGUAUUUAUUAGAUUAAAAACCAAUGCCCUUCGGGGCUCACUGGUGAUUCAUAAUAACUUCUCGAAUCGCAUGGCCUUGUGCCGGCGAUGGUUCAUUCAAAUUUCUGCCCUAUCAACUUUCGACGGCUGGGUCUUGGCCAGCCGUGGUUACAACGGGUAACGGAGGGUUAGGGCUUGACCCCGGAGAAGGAGCCUGAGAAACGGCUACUACAUCCAAGGAAGGCAGCAGGCGCGCAAAUUACCCAAUCCCGAUACGGGGAGGUAGUGACAAUAAAUACUGAUACAGGGCUCUUUUGGGUCUUGUAAUUGGAAUGAGUACAAUUUAAAUCCCUUAACGAGGAACAAUUGGAGGGCAAGUCUGGUGAGGAAAAGUACAAUGCUGCUUGCGCCAGAAAGAGUAUUAGGUAGAGAUAUCUAUCUACUGCUAGUCGAGCACCCGAUACAGCUGCGGGUGGGUGCCGGCGACACAACCUGGAUCGGGGAAGGCUAAGGGCUCAGCCUAUGCUAAUCCCGCGCGGAGUCUCAGUAGAGUGAUCUUCUGAAGACCCGUGUAGAGCGCGCCAAGGUGUGGGCUGCCCUGUGCUUGCACAGGCGGCUUAAGGGACGUGCCGACCACCGGGAAACCGGAUUCCUCCAUGGAGCACCCGCAAGUGCAAAGUAGGAGGACACCUUCCAGGGUACCUGGUACCUGUCGGGAGGUGGGGAGAACGCAGAUACUUGGUUUUCACUUCUGGGGGUAAUUCAGAAUCAAUUGAAUUCCAAAGUGAUCUCUUUUCGGCCAGCAGCCGCGGUAAUUCCAGCUCCAAUAGCGUAUAUUAAAGUUGUUGCAGUUAAAAAGCUCGUAGUUGAACCUUGGGCCUGGCUGGCCGGUCUGCCUCACCGCAUGCACUGGUCCGGCCGGGCCUUUCCCUCUGGGGAGCCGCAUGCCCUUCACUGGGUGUGUCGGGGAACCAGGACUUUUACUGUGAAAAAAUUAGAGUGUUCAAAGCAGGCCUAUGCUCGAAUACAUUAGCAUGGAAUAAUAGAAUAGGACGUUGCGGUUCUAUUUUGUUGGUUUCUAGGACCGCCGUAAUGAUUAAUAGGGACAGUCGGGGGCAUCAGUAUUCAAUCGUCAGAGGUGAAAUUCUUGGAUCGAUUGAAGACUAACUACUGCGAAAGCAUUUGCCAAGGAUGUUUUCAUUAAUCAGGAACGAAAGUUAGGGGAUCGAAAACGAUCAGAUACCGUUGUAGUCUUAACCAUAAACUAUGCCGACUAGGGAUCGGGCGAUGUUUUUCUUUGACU
rnacentral:rRNA from 1 species